UUCGACGCAACGCGAAGAACCUUACCGGGGCUCGAACGGUAACUGCAACCCCUGGAAACAGGGGGUUCCCUUCGGGGACGGUUAUCGAGGUGCUGCAUGGCUGUCGUCAGCUCGUGUCGUGAGAUGUUGGGUUAAGUCCCGCAACGAGCGCAACCCUUGCCCUUAGUUGCCAUCAGGUAAAGCUGAGCACCCUAAGGGUACUGUCGGCGAAAAGCCGGAGGAAGGUGGGGAUGACGUCAAGUCCUCAUGGCCCUUACGUCCCGGGCUACACACGUGCUACAAUGGUCGGUACAAAGGGUCGCCAACCCGCGAGGGGGAGCUAAUCCCAAAAAGCCGAUCUCAGUUCGGAUCGCAGUCUGCAACUCGACUGCGUGAAGGCGGAAUCGCUAGUAAUCGCAGAUCAGCACGCUGCGGUGAAUACGUUCCCGGGCCUUGUACACACCGCCCGUCACAUCACGAAAGUGGGUUGUACUAGAAAUCGCUGAGCCAACCCGUAAGGGGGGCAGGCGCUUAAGGUAUG
rnacentral:rRNA from 1 species